CACAAGCAGCGGAUCUGAACUUUAC
rnacentral:piRNA from 1 species